rnacentral:rRNA from 1 species
AUAAGGUCUUUAAAUUUAUAGAAUUUGGCGGUAAUUAAGUCUAAAUAGAGGAACCUGUUCUAUAAUCGAUAAUCCACGAUUAACUUUACUUUAAUGAGGCUUAUAUACCUCUAUACAACGGAAUGUAUUAAAAAAUUAUUUUCUUCACUCUUAAUUAAGAUUAAUAUUAGGUCAAGGUGUAGCUUGUAUUAAAGUAGAAAUGGGUUACAUUAAUUGAAUCAUUAUUUGAAAUAGUAUAAGUGAAAUUGGAUUUAUAGGUAAUUUUAAUCAGUAAAAUUAUUUUGAUUUAUGCUCUUAAUUAU